GUCGUCAUAAUCCAGUGGUAGGACACCACGUUGUGGCCGUGAGGCAAGGCCGUGGUAGCCCGUGUUCGACCCACGGUGAUGAUA